UACGUAGGGUGCGAGCGUUAAUCGGAAUUACUGGGCGUAAAGCGUGCGCAGGCGGUUUUGUAAGCCAGAUGUGAAAGCCCCGGGCUUAACCUGGGAAUGGCAUUUGGGACUGCAAGGCUUGAGUGCGGCAGAGGAGACUGGAAUUCCUGGUGUAGCAGUGAAAUGCGUAGAUAUCAGGAGGAACACCCGUGGCGAAAGCGGCUCUCUGGGACGGUACUGACGCUGAGACGCGAAAGCGUGGGGAGCAAACAGG
rnacentral:rRNA from 1 species